UCGAACCAAAAAAACCUGGUAAAACAAAAUCAAAGAUCGAUCAUAGUUCAGCUAACCGGUUCUCAACCACGGUUCCAGUUAAAGCAACCUUGUGAGCACCAUUAAGACUCUUAAUAUCUUUAGAUAAGAUCGAUGAAGCAUUCUUAAUGCUUUGUGCUUCAUCUAAAACAAUGUAAGCAUAAUCUUUUUUAGCAUGGUAUGCACGAUCUUUUUUAAAAGCAGAGUAAGUGGUGAUUUCAACCAGAUGGUUUCUUGAGUUGAUUAUCGCUCUACGAUUAUCAACAUUUCCAGAUAUCGUAGCCACAACUAAAUCUGGGUCAAAUUUCUUGAACUCACUAGCCCAAUUUAAUAACAACGAAGCAGGUGCUACGAUUAAGCUUUGCUUAAUUUCAUGGGGGCGGUCUUUAUAGAAUUGGGAGAUAACUGAGAUCAUUUGGAUCGUUUUACCCAACCCCAUAUCAUCUGCCAUAAUCCCACCAAACCCAAACUUUUGUAAGAUUCUCAACC
rnacentral:antisense_RNA from 1 species